AUUGAACGCUGGCGGCAGGCCUAACACAUGCAAGUCGAACGGUAACAGGAAGAAGCUUGCUUCUUUGCUGACGAGUGGCGGACGGGUGAGUAAUGUCUGGGAAACUGCCUGAUGGCGGGGGAUAACUACUGGAAACGGUAGCUAAUACCGCAUAACGUCGCAAGACCAAAGAGGGGGACCUUCGGGCCUCUUGCCAUCGGAUGUGCCCAGAUGGGAUUAGCUAGUAGGUGGGGUAACGGCUCACCUAGGCGACGAUCCCUAGCUGGUCUGAGAGGAUGAUCAGCCACACUGGAAAUGAGACAGGGUCCAGACUCCUACGGGAGGCAGCAGUGGGGAAUAUUGCGCAAUGGGCGAAAGACUGAUGGAGCAAUGCCGAGUGAGUGAUGAAGGUCGUCGGGGUGUAAAGUCCUGUUAUUAGGGAAGAACACAUGCAGAAGAAAACAUCCCCGUCUUGACGGUAACUAAAGAGAAAGCAACGGCUAACGACGUG
rnacentral:rRNA from 1 species